UGCCUCUAGAAUACGGGCAAAAGGUUAAGGUCAACAAAUCGUUGCACGAUGAAAGUCAGCAGGCAGGGCACCCGAUGGCUCUUGCGAGCUGUCUUUGGCAGCCGGGUCCUCAGGGCUCUGGGCCGGAGUGGGGCCAACCAUGCUUCUCAGCAGGAGGUCCGGAGAAAGGCUGUCCUGAGGUUUUGCUGCUUAUAAAGCCCUGCCAAUUAUGGUCUGCCAGAGUCGCUUCUUCCUGUGGUAUGCUGCGCUGUAGAGAGGGACUCUGAAAUUCAGAAUAAGCAGCGUGUUCCUGUAGUCCGUCGUCCUGUUCAAGAGAAAAGAAAAACCCGUGGAAAUGAGGUGGAUGAAAAGUUUGAGACCUGUAACGUCUGUAAAACUGCACCUCUAGAGGAAAACGUUGAAAAUAUAGAGUCAACCACUCACAUUGUAUGUGGAGAGGAAUAAGUUUGUUGCUUUAUGGGGAAUGCAAGUCAGUUAAAAUAUAACCGCGUGAUCAAGUCA